AAUGAACGCUGGCGGCGCGCCUAAUACAUGCAAGUCGAGCGAGAAGACGUAGCAAUACGUUUGUAAAGCGGCGAACGGGUGAGGAAUACAUGGGUAACCUACCCUCGAGUGGGGAAUAACUAGCCGAAAGGUUAGCUAAUACCGCGUACGCUCCUUGGACUUCGGUUCAGGGAGGAAAGCGAUACCGUGGGUAUCGCGCUCUUGGUUGGGCUCAUGUCCUAUCAGCUUGUUGGUGAGGUAACGGCUCACCAAGGCUUCGACGGGUAGCUGGUCUGAGAGGACGAUCAGCCACACUGGCACUGCGACACGGGCCAGACUCCUACGGGAGGCAGCAGUAAGGAAUAUUGCGCAAUGGGCGAAAGCCUGACGCAGCGACGCCGCGUGGGGGAUGAAGGUCUUCGGAUUGUAAACCCCUUU
rnacentral:rRNA from 1 species